rnacentral:rRNA from 1 species
UACGGAGGGUGCAAGCGUUGCUCGGAAUCACUGGGCGUAAAGCGACCGCAGGCGGCCUGACAAGUCGGAUGUGAAAGCCCUGGGCUCAACUCAGGAAUUGCAUUCGAAACUGGUAGGCUCGAGUACGGGAGAGGGGGGUGGAAUUCCUGGUGUAGGGGUGAAAUGCGCAGAUAUCAGGAGGAACACCGGUGGCGAAGGCGGUUCUCUGGGCUUACCUGACGCUGAGGAGCGAAAGUCGUGGGGAGCGAACAGG